rnacentral:rRNA from 1 species
CAGCCGCCACGGUAACACGUAGGGUGCAAGCGUUAAUCGGAAUUACUGGGCGUAAAGCGUGCGCAGGCGGUUAUAUAAGACAGAUGUGAAAUCCCCGGGCUCAACCUGGGAACUGCAUUUGUGACUGUAUAGCUAGAGUACGGCAGAGGGGGAUGGAAUUCCGCGUGUAGCAGUGAAAUGCGUAGAUAUGCGGAGGAACACCGAUGGCGAAGGCAAUCCCCUGGGCCUGUACUGACGCUCAUGCACGAAAGCGUGGGGAGCAAACAGGAUUAGAUACCCCUGUAGUCCCUGUCUCUUAUAC